rnacentral:rRNA from 1 species
AUUGAACGCUGGCGGCAGGCCUAACACAUGCAAGUCGAGCGAGCGGCGGACGGGUGAGUAAUGUAUGGGGACUGCCCGCUAGAGGGGGAUAACUACUGGAAACGCUAGCUAAUACCGCAUACUAUCGGAUAACCCAUAUGGGAUUAGCUAGUAGGUGAGGUAAUGGCUCACCUAGGCGACGAUCCCUAGCUGGUCUGAGAGGAUGAUCAGCCACAUUGGGACUGAGAUACGGCCCAGACUGCUACGGAGGCAGCAGUGGGGGAUAUUGCACAAUGGGCGAAAGCCUGAUGCAGCGACGCCGAGUGGGGGAUGAAGGCUUUCGGGUUGUAAACCUCUUUCGCUAUCGAACGGGUAGGUGGAGAAGAAGCGCCGGCUAACUACGUGCCAGCAGCCGCGGUAAUC